CCCACCCCUUUUUAUUUUAUUUUAUUUUUUUUAACUUUGUCAGCACUAAAUAAAUGCUGGGUUUUGGACCACCUGACUUAUUCUACCCCUAAGGUGGAGUCAGAUUAGGGGCCAAGGUGUUCUCUAAACAAUUGAGUCUUCAAUUGUCUUUAAAAAAUAGAAAGGGACUCAGCAGAAUGCACAGAGUUUGGUAAUUUGUUCCACCAUUUGGAAACAACAGAGGAGAAGAGUCUGGCUAGAGAUAUCGAGCUGUGCUGGGCUGGAAGCACCAGGCGUCUCUCACAUGCAGAGCGAAGGGGAGUAGACCUGGAUCAGGGAAUCCAGGUAGGCUGGGGCCGUUCUUGUAAAUGUUUUGUAAGCCAGGAGGAGAGUUUUGAAUUUGAUUCUGGCUGCAACUGGAAGCCAGUGAAGAGAGAUGAACAAGGGAGUGACAUGAGCUCUUUUGGGCUGGUUGAAGACCAGACGUGCUGCUGCAUUCUGGAUCAUCUGUAGAGGUUUGACUGUACAUGCAGGGAGACCUGCCAGAAGAGAGUUGCAGUAGUCAAUGCGUGACAUCACAAGAGCCUGAACCAGAAGUUGUGUGGCCUGUUGGGUCAGGAAGGGUCUGAUCUUCCUGAUGUUGUAGAGGACAUAACGACAAGAUCGAGAAACUGAGGCCACGUGAACCUUAAAGCUGCUGUCCGGAGUUUGAAUCGCAGCGUCUCCCAGAACACUGUUGGUCCCACCCUCCCUCCCUCUGAUUUCGCCCCUUUAUUUGUGCACGCGCGCAGUACAUGAGAGAAGUGCCCCGAGUGCUGCAGCAUCUCGCCUGUUUUGCUGUUUUCCCCUCUUCUACAUUUAGUACAUUUAGUAAAUAAUAAAGGAAUUACGUUAGAAUGCUGUAUUGAGUCUAACUUGUCCUAAUACCAAAAUAACAUGAAUCUGCUAGGACGAACUAGUAAAGUUUCAAUAUGUGAUUACACUCGUGUAUCCCUCUCAAUGACGUUGUUUAUCAAACUUAGUGCAUUUACGCGUGUAUAUGUGUUACAUUGUUUAUUUAUUUCUAUCUAGAGUUCAGAAUUGCAUGACUCCUCUGACGAAGAGUAUGUCCCAGACGCCCCAACAUCUUCCUCCAGAGGUCGGGCAUCUAAACGAAGCCGUCAGGCGGGCUAUGGAGGGCCGUGGUCGGGGAGCGACGCGAGCACCCCGAGCCAAAAAACGUCCUGCAGUCUCUUGGCCUGACAAGCCGUGGGAUUGGUAACUUUUCUGGAAGUUGCUGAGCCCUGAUGCUCUCUCCUCCACAAGCAAAACAAAUGUGUGCGCGGUUGCGUAGUGCAUAGCUCGCCCACCUCUGCAUGGGCUUGCUUGCUGUGCGCGUAACCGUUGAUUGACAGCAUGACAAAGCUGAAGCUCGAACUUGAUUGGUCGGCAGCAACCGGCGCUUUUUGGAAUAACAUGGGGGUCUAUGAGAGGAAGGCGGAGCUCAGGAAUAAAUUUUCAUAUCGCGUUAUUCUAACUUUAUAUUAUAGUAUCGAACUAGACUAACACAUUUAAGCUUUGUUAAAAAAUGAUACAUAGAUUGAAAACAAACGGAAACUCCGGACAGCAGCUUUAAAGGUCAGCUGGUCAUCAAUCAUGACACCCAGGUUUCUGGCUGAGUUAAGCCUCUUAAGCCCAUAUAGCCCUAAUAUGGCUCUGCUGGCCUACUGGAGAAAUUAUUGCAAAAAUAUGGACAAAAAUGCCACAACGUGGUCCAACUGUAUGUGCCCAGAAAAUGAUAGAAUGAAGCCAAAAUGUGCCCUUAAUGCGAUAACAUGUAUCUUAACAUGUCCAGGAAAUUCCAAAAUGAACCAGAAAAAUACCAAAAUGUGCUCUUGGUAUGCCAAUAUAUGCCUGGAAUGUUCAAAAAUGUGUUCAGAUUAUAUAUAAAAAAAUUACCCAAAAAUAAUCCCCCUAGUGUUCCAAAGGAUAGCCCUAAAUAUACCGUAUCCAGAAUAUGCCCAAAUGUAGCUUCAUUUGCCAACAAGUCCUCAAAUUCAUACGACUGCAUCGGUCGUAUGUAACGUGCACCGGAGUACGACCCACGAGAGCAUAUUUAUGUUAGCGCCCCUACAGGGAAAAGGAACGCAUUACGGGAUUUAAUUCGAGAAACGGCUUUUCCCUUGUGAAACGGCUUUUUCCUCACUUUCCCAGCAUGGGUUUAGGGUUAUGGUUAGGGUGAGGGAAAGGGAUAGGGAUAGUGUUAAGAUAAAAGUUUGUGAUGUUUCACCUGCGACACCGGAGUGUCGAUAUUUACUCAACCGCCAGAGGUCGCAUAGUCAAAACGUAACACUCAGUCAUAAUACGGGCGUGUACAGACGACCGAUGUGGUCGUUUUUGGUUUGAGGACAGGCUGCAUUUGCUGAUCAGGGUUUAAGAGGGGAAAGUUUGGUUCAGUCAGGGGAAAAAAAUGUACACAAUGACAUGUAAACAGUUGCCAGGACAAUUCACCCUUGGGUUCAUCUGGUCCCGGUCUACCCUAGUUCCACUGUUUAGAACCUCGAUUAUUCAGAAACUUUGCCCAUGUAGUGUUUGCAGACCGACAUGUUGAUGAUGUACUCUGUAGUAAUUGGAUAUGUUUGCAAAUGGGUGUUAGUAAAUUAAAAAUAAAUAAACAGAACUAAAAGUGAACUUCACAUUGACAUUGAUGAGCAUUCCAACCAGGAACAAAGUAAAAGAUCAUCAAUACAAAAAAAAACUCUUUUUGUUCACCUUUUAAAACACAAAAACACACCGCAGUAGCACCCUAAACUAAAACUACCAAGGGGUUCCCUGUUUUCCUUUCUGAACAAUUCAAAGGUCCCUCCCUAUCUCGCCACACAUGCACCAACCACUGGAACACAUCUCCAAAGUUCUGCUGAAGUUCAGCUUCCCCUCAGAAGAAGUGCCGCCAGAUGAAAGAGCCUUUUGAGAGGCAGCUAGCAUCGUGAUUGUACUUUGGUCUGUUCCAAUCCAGCUUCAGUUCCAGAGACGGCAGGCGGGACGAGUCAACGGAGGCCGAGUGGACGAAGGCAUGCAGCUGAGAACAAUCCAGAAAACAACAGAGGAGGAGUGAAGCUGCCCAGGGCCAGAACAAACAAAGUAGCAUUGUAUGUCUCUUAGAAAACAUCAUAGUAUAUAGCAUUUGGUAUAAAAAAAUGCCACCAUAUACAUCGUAUAUUGUACAAAUAACAAGUCAGAGGAAAGAGACAUACACUGUAGAAUUGUAGUAACUGUGGGCUGAAUGAUUUACUAAUCAGUAUUUCUUUUUUUAACCGAUUUACGGUAAUAAAUCCAUUCAUAAAUGGUGCUACUUUGGCUCUGAACCUUCAUCUACCUGUGGUCGCUCUGUCUUCUGGAGUGAUUUGAUUGUUAUAUGUCACAAAUAAAACUCCUUUAACUUAACAUAUUAACAAAAACAUAUCAACAAAAUUUUCUGUUAGUUUGUGUUCUAAGUUUAACUCCAAGAUUUUAAAUACUUUCAUUUACUGCAAAUGAGUAUCUCCUCCAAAUGUCUCACCAAUAAUCUUUAAUCGGCCUUAAAAACCCACAAAACACCCUUCUAUACUUAACCACACUUAGUACAGUCCGGUUCCCCCUUCUAUAAAUUUGCUUGGAAUCUUCCACUUCCUGUUUGUCAAAGUGGCCUUCUACCUGGACAGGUUUUGUUGGCGCUCAUGCAACAAGCAUUUUGGGUAAGUGCACUUUAAUAUGGAUGGAUGACACUGAAUUAGAGUCUGUUGUAAUGAGACUGAGUCUAAAAACAUCAUAGCUCUGUCAGGCUCAGAAUUCACAGAGAAAAGUCUGAAAUGUUUGCUAGGUUAGUGUCCCACAUGUUUUUUUGGCUCAGCUAAAGCUAACUCUCUCCAACUUCUUGAUCUCUUGAGUUGCUUGGUAAAAUAUCUAGCGAGAGGUGCUGAAGCUCAGAAAGUCUGAGAUGUUUGUUCAAAAUAAGCUCAUUCUCAAGUCUUAUCUGAACUGUCCUCUUUUGUUUGAACUUUCCCUAAACUUAGGAGUUAAUGACAGAGCAGCACAUCCAGAUUCAGUCUCAUUUAUGUAGAGAUUAAUCUUCAGUGUCAUUCAUUGCAGUGUUUCAAAUGUUGGUUUGUCAACCAAACCAGUCCAGGUGGAAGAUGAUGUGAAGAGAAAGCUCCAGAGGAUGAAUAUCACACAUUUACGUUGGAAAUAAAUGUCAUUUAAUUAGACAUUGUCAUGCAAAAGUUGGAUUUCCCUUUAAUGAUGUUCAGAUCUUUGACUGUUUUGUUGAUGUUGGUUUCUAAAUGUUUUUUGACACUCGGCCCCAGAGAUUCAAACUCUUUACGGCUCACAAACUGUAACAAUUCACACAUUAUCAACAAUCUUUCUGACUAAAUUAAGAUAAAAAGGGAAAAACUGCCUGAUUCCUGCAUCAUGAAUGUAUAAUAUUAUAUAAUAAUGUAAUAUAUUUGGGUUUGACAUUUUAUAAACCAAAACAGGAAAUGAAUUACUGGAGAAAACAAUCAACAAAUUAAUGGACAAAGAAAAUGUGUUUUUCAACAUAUAUGGCUGAAUUACUCCAACAUUACAAGAUACAUACAAUUUAAAUUCAGUUUUAUUUAUAUAACACUAAUUACAGGUCAAAUAGUCUCAAGACACUUUAUUUUUUAUAUUUUUUGUCAUAUUUAAAAUAUGAAAAAGUUAUUUGGUUUUUAAGAGAGUAAUCGACGAUUAAAAUAACUUUCUCCACUAAAACUAAUAAACCUGAGUUCAAAUAGAAGGAACAGAUUUAAAUACUGCAGUCGCACGACAACAAUAAUAAAGUUUCUCAACAAAAACUAAAUCUGCUGGUGGAUUCCAUUGAAGUCUAAUAAAUGAAAGUAAUAAAUAUAUAAUAACUUUAUUUAUAAUAACUAAUAAAUAAAAUGUGACACUAAAGGUUUGUGGUGGUAAAAAAAAAAAGUAAAGAUAUCACGCUGAAUAUCUGGAUGGUGGCUGAUAAAAAUUGGCCUCCCUUCAUUUCUCUGGAGCCGACUCCAUAGAUUAUUUACGAAAUGAUUUUAUUUUGUCUGAUCUGUAGUUCAGUGAGUUAAGUGUUGACCUGUGGAGCUGCAGGUUGUGAGUUCAAGACCAGAUCCUUCUUACAUUUUAUCAAAAUCCUGACUGUGAGGGUGCUGGAGAGCAUCCCCCUCACUGCAUUUUGUACAGACUGAUACAAGUUUAUUUAUUUUGUUUUGCGUUGAGGUGACUUCAGUGGGGCGUGUUCCAUGGAGUGCACACAUGAAGAUGCAGCCACAGAAUACCACAGUUGUCACUUACCUGAUUAGAUGGAAUUGAGAGAUCAGAGGAGAGAGGGGAGGGGUUACAGGGGUAUUUUUGAAUAAGUUUGAUCUUUUGUGUUUCUGUGGGUUAUGUGUUUUCUUUCCUUUGUAUCAGACUGUUAAUUGCAUUCAUGUUUUUUUAGUACAAAGGAUAUUUAAUAUUAUAUAUUUUUUAAUAUAAGUGUGGAUAGGUCACUGGUGUGAGAGAAUAUAAGAGCCAGGUGUCAGUGUGGUGUGAGAAGGAGGGUAACCCCUCCUUCUCACACCCAGGGCUGAAGCUUUGCUCUGCUUCAUGCCGUCAUCCACGGCACCUUGUCUAACUGGUGAGCUAUAUUUUGCACAUGGAAACGAAGUAAAAACUGGAGCUCUGGAACAAAACUCCUUGCUGUUUGGCUGCUUUUUUACUGUGCCAUCAUGCUUUCCCCUUUAAUGCCGUUGGGUUUAUCCAAAUUGUAGUGUAUCACCACCAAAAUCCUACAUUUGGCGUCAGACGUGGAUGAGACGCGGCCAAAUUUAAGAAGUAAAGCAUUGUGAGCCAACAGCAUGGGGCCUAAAGUUCAAGCCAAAGUUCCACGGACAGAAGUUGUUGAGGACAGCCAGGAAGAGGGUGUCGCAGGAGAGGUGCCAAUGGUCGUACACCCUGGGGAGAGGCCCCCAGGGCCUGCUGAUAUGGACUCAGUUACUGGCAUGUUGCAGCAAUGUCUUCACUUCCAACGUGACCAAAGUGAAAGAUGGGAAAGAGAAACAGUUAAACAAGACAAAAGGUGUCACCAAAUGCAGAUUCAAGUGUGGGAUGAACUGGAGCAGCAGCAGAGCACAGAAAGCCGACCCCAGCAGAGCACACCACAGCCACUACAGCAGGUAUCCCAGUCCAGUGCCCACACUGAGUUAACGGGUAGGGGCUGGGGGCAAGCAGCAGUUCCCCGACUGGAGGAGGGGGAUGAUAUUGAGCAGUAUCUGGCCACCUUCGAGCGCUUGGUGUGGUAGGAUGUCCCCGCCCAUCUCCACUCAUGUGUAUGUGUGUGCAUUGGAUCAGGUUCGCGCAGCUGGGAGCAAUCGCUGUGAUCCUUGAUUACUGGGCAGUGCAGCACCGAGUCAUAUCUGGGAGAGGGCUGCAUGUCUCACACAUGCAUCUUACCUCUUCCUGGAGCACAGUGUCGUGUCGGCGGUGUGGUUUGGCGUGGCUGUGCUGAAUCCACGGGGCGGUCUUGAGACGCUGUCGAUCGAGCUUUCUCCAUUUAUGUUGUCAGUGUCAACCUGUAUCCUGGUCGAAGGCUGGGAGCUGGGUCUGUGUGUGGCCUCGGAGCUGGGUGUAAUCUACACGCUGUGUUGAACUCCUGAGUUUUGGUGCAGCUCGUCCUUUGGUGCCAUGGAGGAGGAACUGCAACAGCUCAGAGACCUUGUCAUGCAGCUGAAGGCAGAUAAUGGGUGGCUUCAUCAGGAGAGGGAUGCCUCUCAGGCCGGCCCAAGUACUGCCGCCUCGGCCACUUCCGCUCCAGUGAGUAAUGGAGUACUACAGAUACCGGCGCUACGGUAACAGAGUGCUUGGUCGUGGUGCCAAGAGACCGUAGAUAUCCCAUGUUUAAUGGCAAAACUGGCAUCAGUGUAACUGAAUGGGCAGAGGAAGUUCAGGCCUAUAUACGUGCCCGUCGCUUGUCAGCUCUCGAUCAAGCCCUCUUUAUGUUUGAUCAUCUAGAGGGGGAAGCCAGCCAAUAUAACUAACCCAAUAUAAAUUGUAUAAAAUGGGGUUCUCGCACUCAGACACGGGGUGGGCCCCUCAAUGCGCCCAAAACAUGGCUGAUACUUACUUUCACGCUCUUUGACGAUGUACAUCUGUCUAUCAAUUCUGGGCAACAGUCACGCAGAAGCUCUCCAAUAUUUUGGACUGCGGGAUUCCGCAUUCCCCUAACAUUUGGCAAAUUGGUGACCUAACGCUAACAGCCUUACCAGACAUUCAUAUCCAUCCCACACUUGCAGCUAUCGCCAUUGCCAAAAAAAAAUAUUUUAGUUAACUGGAGAGAUAAGAAAGCCUUCAACAUCAUUCAUUGGCUGAAUCUCCUCACAGAACACAUUUCACUUGAGAGAAUAUCUGCUACCCGAAAAAAACAAUUGGACUCAUUUAAAGAGAAAUGGUCUCUAUUUAUUAAAUAUGAAUCUAUAGCUUCUGCUUGUUUGUGAGCAUAUGCCACUUCCCUUAUAAAACUGUGAUACCUGUUUUGUCUGUUCAGAUGUCUAACUAUCCUCUGCUUUAUUUCAGUUUAUUAACCCUCUACUUUUUAAAGAAUGAUGGCACCAUGGACUCCAAGGCCGUGUGCAUGCACUGGUGGUGUCCUUUCCCUAUUGUUCCUGGGGUUGCUCUCUGGCUCUGCGGGGCCUGCGUGGCUAGGGCCCCUCUCCCUGGGGGUGGGUGUCUCCGGUGUCUCUCCCAUUGAGCCCUGGAUCUGCUGGGUCUGCACGCUCUCCUGAGGCCUUGGGGGUGGCGGUGGCUGGUCUCUUCUGGGGCGCCCUGGCUGACAUUGGGAUUUGGGUUCAGCAGCAGAAAGAACAAGAUGCCAGAGCACUGUACCACAUAUUCGUGUUCAAAUCGCCAGACCGUCGAAAACAGGGCACGAGGGAUUACUUUUCACAACCGGAAAAGGGCAGGAGUACAUCUACCUCCAGAAGAGCUGACGAGAGCCUGUCCGUGGCCUCUCAGGAUGAUCCAGAAACUGGAACCUCAGACCCACAACCUCAAUCUAAUGAUUGUCAACCUAUAUCCUGGAAGAAGGCGGGGAGCUGGGUCUGUGUGUGGCCUCGGAACUGAGUGUAAUCUCCAUGCUGUGUUGAGCUUCUGAGGUAGGCUGGCUCGGUUUUGUCUGGCAUUUGUAUGUUUUUCUGCUGAGCUGCACAUGAAGUGACGCUGGUCUCUGCUUGCUGUUGGCAGUGGCCAUGCUGCAUGUUGCUGUGGCUGUCUCCCCUGUUCCCUGAGGAGCUGUCUUCGCUGACAGGCUUUUACUUCAGAGGCACGCUACUGCUGCUCUGUCUAGGAGAUAACUGGCAGGCUCUCGGCUCGUUUAUAAUUAAUUUUUUUGUAAUUGUUUUUUGGUUAUUUUGUUUCGUCUUUUAAACUGUCUUCCUUGGGUGGGCCUGAAGCUGUAUCAGGCAGACUGACCCCGAUUAGUCAACUAAUUAAAAUUCAGUCAAUUAUUUCUGGGUGAUUUUGAUUGGGUUAGUAUUGUUAGUAUUAGCAUUGUUAGUAUUAGUAGUAUUGUUAGUAUUCUUGUUUGUUGACUUUGGGAGCAUUUGUUAUUUUUCCUAUUUCUAUUUAUUGUUUAUUGUUAGAGAUUUUGUGUUAAGUUUUUUUUGAUUCUGUAGAUUUUGUUUGUCCUUUUUUGAGUUUAUGGGGUGGAAUGAGUGUGUGCAGGUUUCAAAUGAGAGCACGAUCAACCUUGGUGAUUAACAGUGUUCUUCUUCAUUUUGGACAGGGACUGUUGGGCCAGGUGCAAGUGGCUGACUGAUCCCCUGUGUACAGGAAGUGAUGGUAUGGUCCCAUCACUUCCUGUACAGCAGUAACUUGGUGUGUCAGUGGUGUUUGGUUUUCUUCACAUAUGGUGUGUAGCGCCAGGACUCUUUCCCCUCCCCUCAGCCUGGUAAGCCCCAGCCCUGUGGCUGGGGUCUGUAGUUCGGAAGCACACUUAACUAAGCCUUGUAGAGCCCUGGACGAUAGCGCAACAUUGUGUCAUUUACCACAUUACUAGAUGGCAUCCCCACCAGGAGAUUUUAACUGAACUGUUGUAGUUUAGUAUUAAUAAAUUCUAUUUUUGUAUAUUUUGGAAUUGCGUCAGUCUCGGGUGUCGUUCUUACCUGUGUGACCUUUUUGACUGCUUGACUGUAGAGUGGUGGCCCCUCUAAAAGAUUUCCUGGGGGUGAAAUUCCCCCAGGUGGCGUUGUCGGACACUUGUUCCAUACAAAGAUAAAUUCAAUCCUCGUAACAUUGCCACAUUGGCAAACAGCAUAUCUGUGGCCAGAGGUUGACUGGGCCGUCAGGCACGUACCAAACGGGGUUAGUGGGUAACUACCUAACGUUAGUUACCCACAGCCCAGGUCGAGCCAGAGAUGCAGGAUUUAGCUGAGGAUUUUGAUGUUAUCCUUGAGAUGCCUUUCUUUGAUGAGGAGCUCACAGAUAGGGCUGUAAAGGAAGUAAAGAAAAAUUCUUACAGAAAAGGCUGGAGAAGAUUGCAGCAACCGUUAGAGCAGGCUAGUGAAGCCAGAGGGUGGUGAAGCUGUUAAAGGUGGUGAUUGUUUUACAACUGCAGGUUUUUUUUUCAACAACCUAAGGCUGCAGCAGGGUCAGGUGGAAGGAGGUUUUUUUCUUGCGAGAUCAGGUGCUGUAUCACAAAGCAGAUCCUGAUGAUAGUGAAAGGCUGGUGGUCCCACAAGGGCUUUGGGAAGAGGUGCUUGAGCUAGCAGGAUAGCAAGCAGAUUUUACUGGCCAGGGUUGAUCACACAGGUUCCUCUUAGAGACAUCACUGAUAAGCAAAUUGCAUAUGCCUUAUUGCACCUUUUAUCCAGAGUUGGUAUUCCAUCUGAAAUUUUGACAGAUCAAGGCACAAAUUUUCUGUCAGGUUUCACCGCAGUUCCACCGUAACAACACAUUUGUUCAUUGUGUACCUAAUACCUACACAGGCAUUAGAGGUAUUCAGACCACUCCCAGACUGAUGGUUUAGUGGAGAGGUACAAUAGAACUCUGAAAAGCAUGUUGAAGAAGUUCAUCUUCACUAAUGCCAAAAACUGGGACAGGUGGCUCCCUUAUCUUCUGUUUGCCUAUAGAGAGGUGCCUCAAGCGUCAAUUGGUUUCUCACCUUUUGAGCUCCUUUAUGACAGACAGGUGAGAGGUCCCCUCGAUGUGCUACAGGAGUCCUGGGGUGGGAUCCCAGGGAAAGAAAAAACAACAUUCUGGCAAAUGUCAAUGGAGAGAGAAGAUGGAGCAGCUGUAAGCUGUAAGUUCCUUACAGAAAAGGCGAGAGAAGAUGGCAGGAAGGAGGAAUACAGAGAAGGCUCAGAGUGGACAGCAAACCUGGUAUGCGGUCAGGGACAGGUCCUUCAGCCCAGGUCAGCAAGUGCUUCUCCUUCUUCCUACAGUUGAGAAUAAAUUAAUGGCAAAAUGGCAGGGUCCUUAUACUGUGCUGAAGAAGCUGAGUUCAACAACUUAUGAGACUGAGAUGCCAGAGAGGAGAAAUCCAGCAUCAAUAUGUUGAAGCAGUGGAAAACCCGGGAAAUUCCACCGCAACAACAGAUGCUUGUUCGGACAGUGGAGGAUGAUGAUGACGUUGUGGGAGAGGUCCUUCCUGCUAGUCGCAACUCUGAAUCCCUUGACCUCUCUCAUCUCUCUCUAACCCAGCAGAAAGACUUGCAAGCUGUAGUGCCAACCGAUUUGUUCCAGGAGAAACCAAAUGGAUACUUUGCUCAAAUAUAUUGUCCCUGCAAUUCCUUCCAUACAAGUCAAAUGAAACAUCAUGUACCGUAAUAUUUAAUAUGUUUCAUGUCAUUCUGAAGAAGAACUUUGUGUGUCAACAUAAAGUGUACUUUAGUCAGUCCCUCCAGGAAUUCACGAUUUUGCGAUCAUGUGAAAUCAACCAAUCUCCGCGAAUUUUGCGUGGCCCAACAAUUUUGUCCAAUCACCGCAACUUUCCCGCAAUUUUGGCCCGCCUCCCGUGAGUUCCACCAAUCAUAGCAGCUCCCAGCGCAAACACACAUACGUCAUCGAAUUCACUUCCUUGUUUAUGGUUUGAAGAUGCAGACAUGUGCGAUACGAAUGUCUCUCAUUUACCGACAAAAAUUACUGCUGAAGACCGUGAUAAACAAUUAAUUCACCGAUGUUCUUCACCAAAGCGGAGCUAAACUGUUUUACAACCGUGCAAUAGUGUGGGGGAAUACAAAAAAAUCAUCGAUUGAUACUUUUUUUAAAACACGAAAUGUAUUAGAACGGCUGAAAUGAGCGGACAACAGACCAGACAAAUCACCAUGAUGGAAACUGUUGCAUCCAGAUCUGUUAGAGCACUGAAAGAAUGAAGGUUAGAUUAAUUAAUCCACCAAAAGACAUGGCGAAGUUAUGUGACCAUUGACGUGUGUGAAUCCUUCCUCUGUUACCAACAUCACUCAAAAAUGGACUCAGAGAUGUGCAUGAAAUUCUCAUGGUUGGUCAGAAAUGACACAAGGGCCAAGUGAUUAGACUUGGGCAGUAAUACGGCUUAAAGUUUGGAUCCACGGAUUUGUUAGGGAUUCAUAGCGGCACGACGUCUGAUAGCGGCACGGUAACCAUGGCAACAAGUGAACGCUACCUCAGCGGCCUGCUGAUGAUCAGGUGAUUGUGAUCCUACAACAAGUCUACCACUGUGGACGUAUCGGAAAUGACUCAAGGAACAACUGAUUAAAUUGUGGGGGUGUUUCUGAGUCCCAUCAAUUCCCGUCGCCCCCUGCAUAAUUAGGUCACUUCAUGUUAAACCAGUAUCUGGCUGCUUCUAAUGUCCCACCGUGGUGUGCCAGCUUUUGUGGAAAUGGGUUGGAACGUUAAAUAAUUAAUUUUGGAAUAAAUAUCGUCAAUUACAGUGUUGAAACAUGUUCUAUAAGCUGGAAAAAAUGCAGCUUUUUAGCAAUUGUCACUUGUCUCCCGCAAUUUCAUGACAACAAAUAAGCUUAAAACAUCGCAACUUUUAUUGCAAUUUUUUAGAAAAGCUGCCGUGAAUUCAGGCAUUUUUGGCCGCAACAAUCACGAAAAACGCCCGCGAAAUCCUGGAGGGACUGUUUAGUGCAGCCUUCAUGAUUUCUACACGUUUCAAAUGCUGUUCCUGAGCUGAAAUGGACACUUUGUUCAAAUAUGUUGUCCCUGCCAUUCCUUCAAACCAGAACAAGUUAAACAUCAUUUGCCUUCACAUUUAUCGCAUUUCAAGUCAUUCCGAAGAAGAUAUUUGUGUGUCAACAUGAAGUUCAUGUUAAUGCAGCCUUCAUGAUUUCUCUGCGCUUCAAAUGCUGGUCCUCAGCUGAAAUGCACAGUUUGGUCAAAUAUGUUAUACAUACAGUUUCUUCAAACCAAGUCAACAGAAGCAUCAUUUACUUUAAAUGCUUCAUUUUUCAUAUUUAUCACAUCUCAAGGCAUUCUGAAGAAGAAAUUUGUUUGGAAAGAUAAUGUGUACUGUGACGAACAGGGCCGUCCGUCACGUAUGUUUGCACAUUGCACAUGACACUUUAUGCAUUCAGUUAGCGUGUUAAUGCACCCAACACUGUGAGAAGCUAAUUGGUAAAUAAUUUGUACACGAUUGUCGGUUUUAAAUAUUUUAUUAACCAAACAGUUUUAUUGAGGUUGGCCGUGGGUCCGGUCCGGUGGCGUCACCUUGGGUGAUGGCGGCGGCCGGGUCUGCGGAGGUGACAGGAUAAUUUAGAUUGGAAUGUACAAUAUUGUGAGAUAAUUUAAAUUGGUGGUUCUCUUAGUGUGGUGUGCAUGCGGUGAAUGUAUUGAGUGUCGUGGAGGUGUGUGUGUGAAUGAGUGGUCUGUGCAGUUAACCUACCGUUUCCUCUUGUGUCCAGGUGCGUCUGGCCAAAAGAGUCCCCAGGGAGCCAGACGCCCAAAAGACUGUUCCGGGCUGAACCAAGGGGAGGGAUACGGAAGGGGUGGCUGCAAUACUUUUAACUUUAUAUUGUGUGUUGGAUUAAGUUUGGUGGGUUUAGUUGGGUUAGUUUGCAUUAGUUAUUUUUUGUUUACUUUAUCCUGGGUUUUGGUUUAUGAUGGAGAGUUUUUAACUUAGGUGGUAACGGCUAAGGAUAAGGUGAUCUACCUCCAGAGUUUUAUUGGUUUAUUCCUGUUGAGCAGACCAGUAUUAGAGGAGGCUGUUCCCCUGAUUCAAAAAAAGAAACGGUUUGUCUGUCUGGUUGUUCUGCGUUCUGCUGCUGGAGAAGCCAUUGCUCCUACCCUCCAACGCACCUGCACUUUUUGCACUUGCACUUUUUGCACUUGCACUUUGAUAUUUUGUAUUUUUGCACAUUUGGAAAAUAAAGAAGGAAAAAAAAGAAAAGAAGUCGACCACUCAAAUGCUGCCUCCGCCUGCCUUUGUACCACUGUUCUUCCACCGCUCGAGCCGCUUGAUCACAUGUACAUUAGUGCAGCCUUCGUGAUUUGUGUAUGCUUCAAAUGAGAUGAAAUGCACAGUUUGGUCAAAUUUGCUGUCCCUACAAUUCCUUCUAUAUACCUCAACAGAAACAUCACUUCCCAUCUUAUUUAUCACAUUUCAAUUCAUUUUGAAGAAGAAAUUUGUUUGAAAACAUAAAGUGUACAUUGGUGCAGCUUUCAUGAUUUCUAUACACUUCAAAUGCUUUUCCUGAGCUGAAAUGCACACUUUGCCCAAAUAUGUUGUCCCUGCAAAUCCGUCCAUCUAGAACACCUUACACAUCAUUUGCCUUCAUAUUUUCAAGUCAUUCUGAAGAAGACAUUUGGGUGUCAACAUGAAGUUCACGUUAAUGCAGCCUUCAUGAUUUCUAUGCGCUUCAAAUGAGAGAAAUGCACAGUCUGGUCAAAUAUGUUGUUCCCAAAAACCAUUUAAAAAUUCAAAAUCAAAGUGGAGUGGCCUUAUCUUUUUAGUGUAUUGAAAAGAUUUGGAUAUGGCCCUAAUUUGUUAAAAUUGAUUAAACUAUUGUAUUCAAACCCUACAGCGGAAAUUUAAACAAAUAAAAAUAUAUCGCAACCAAUUACAAUAAACGGGAUGUCUGCAAGGAUGACCCCAUCACCGUUACUGUUCACUUUAGCUAUCGAACCGUUGGCAAUAGUGGUAUGCACAAACCAAGAAAUAGCUGGAAUGAGGAUAUGUCACAGAGAACAUAAGAUAUCACUCUAUGCAGACGAUGUAAUUCUGUUCAUUUCACAUCUCAGUAAAUUUAUUCCUGCUCUGCUGGGGUUGAUAAUAGCAUUCAGUGACAUUUCAGGAUACACGAUUAACAAUGACAAAUCUUCCAUUCUGCCGCUUGAUUAUAAUGAGAGGGAAAACCUAUCUAGAGAAAUUUCCCAGUUUAAGGUGGUAGAACAGUUCACCUAUCUGGGGAUAGAAAUUACCUCCAGCUUAGCCUCAAUUACUAAGGUAAAUUAUAAACCCCUACUGGAAGAAAUCACUGAACUAAUUAAUAGAUGGAUGCCACUGCCGUUGUCAUCGAUUGGCAGAAACAACGUGAUCAAAAUGUCCAUUCUCCCAAAGAUAUUGUACAUAUUUACAUGUUUAAAGUGCCCAAAUAUAACUUUGUAUUACUGGGCAGCACAAUUGCGGUCUAUUAAAUUCUAUUUUGCAACAAAAGAUGUCCCACAGUGGAAAGAAAUGGAGUCAGAAUGUUUAAAUUUACCUUUGCCCUCAAAUUUAUAUUCGGACACAUUAAGAAAUCUAAUGAAACGAACUGCCAAUCCAAUUGUUAAAAACAUGGUUAAAUUCUGGUUUGAAGUGAUGAAAUUCAUUAAAGCUGCUGUCCGGAGUUUCCGUUUGUUUUCAAUUUAUGUAUCAUUUUUUAACAAAGCUUAAAUGUGUUAGUCUAGUUCGAUGCUAUAAUAUAAAGUUAGUAUAACGUGAUAUGAAAAUUUAUUCCUGAGCUCCGCCUUCCUCUCAUAGACCCCCAUGUUAUUCCAAAAAGCGCCGGUUGCUGCCGACCAAUCAAGUUCGAGCUUCAGCUUUGUCAUGCUGUCAAUCAACGGUUACGAACACAGC